AUGCUGGACCCGAGCGGAGGAGGUGGCAUAACAGCGGUGAGCUUCCAUGUUCCUGAGCGGCCAUGGUAUUGGUCCCCUGUUCGAGGCAAGGAGAGAAGGGCAGAGAAAUUAGAGGAGGGAGCAAGACAGGUAGAGGAAAGGAAUAGACAGGGGAGGCGUGAAGAUCCUGGUCGCCAGUGCUGGUACUCCGGUGGCCGAGCGGGCGGGGCCUCGGGUGCUGCUGUUGUUCGCCGGCAACGGCCGGAUCGGGAGAAUCAGCGUGAGGAGGGAAGGAAGGAGAAGGCGGAGAGGGACGGCAGCCUGCUGGCCCUGGUCGCCGGCAGCGGAGCUGACAAGGCAGCGGUGUGA
rnacentral:rRNA from 1 species